rnacentral:lncRNA from 1 species
GGAACAGAGAAAUUCACUAUGGAUGAUGCUAUAUCUUUAUAUGACCUUUGGAAUAUCUGUAAUCAUCCUGAGGGCAAUACUUAUGUAAUGAAGAUGGAAGAAGAGAGAAUAUGAAUACUCCGUGCACUUUGAUCUUAUCGUUUAGCUGCUGAUCAUACCAUCCCUGGAGUCCUACUUCUGACUCCAAGUUAUGAGGAUGUCCCAGUGUUCUCACGUUCCACCUUCAAUCACACUUAACCAAUGUUAAAUCCCUG